UNGCAUUGGGCUAAAUACUUGCCAAAGAC
rnacentral:piRNA from 1 species